rnacentral:rRNA from 1 species
UUCCGGUUGAUCCUGCCGGAGGCUACCGCUAUUGGAGUUCGAUUAAGCCAUGCGAGUCGCGAGUCUUAGGGACUCGGCGUACCGCUCAGUAACACGUGGGUAACCUGCCCUAUGCUGGGGGAUAACCUCGGGAAACUGAGAAUAAUACCCCAUAGUUCACCACGCCUGGAACGGUGGGUGGAUCAAAGCUCCGGCGGCAUAGGAUGGGCCUGCGGCGUAUCAGGUUGUAGGGGGUGUAAUGUACCCUCUAGCCCUCUACGCGUACGGGUGUUGAGAGACAUCGCCCGGAGAUGGAUUCUGAGACACGAAUCCAGACCCUACGGGGUGCAGCAGGCGCGAAAACUUGGCAAUGCGAGAAAUCGUGACCAGGGAACUCCAAGUGCAUCGGGUAAGACCGAUGCUUUUCUUGACUCUUCAAAGGUCUUGGAAUAAGGGGUGGGUAAGGACGGUGCCAGCCGCCGCGGUAAUACCGGCGCCCCAAGUGGUAGUCGCUUUUAUUGGGCCUAAAACGUCCGUAGCCGGUCUGGUACAUUCGUGGGUAAAUCAACCAGCUCAACUGGUUGAAUUCUGCGAGCACGGCCAGACUUGGGACCGGGAGAGGUGUGGGGUACUCUCAGGGUAGGGGUAAAAUCCUGUCAUCCUGAGAGGACCACCUGUUGCGAAGGCGCCACACUAGAACGGAUCCGACGGUCAGGGACGAAGCCUAGGGGCACGAACCGGAUUAGAUACCCGGGUAGUCCUAGGUGUAAACGCUGUGGACUUGAUGUUGGGGGCGCUCCGAGCGCACUCAGUGUCGAAGCGAAGGUGAUAAGUCCACUGCCUGGGGAGUACGGUCGCAAGGCUGAAACUUAAAGGAAUUGGCGGGGGAGCACCGCAACCUGAGGAUUGUGCGGUUUAAUUGGAAUCAACGCCGGA